AUGGUUUUACGUGCGGAAUAAGUACUUCUGACGUGCUUAAAAUACUUUUCAUAUCUUCCAAAAUGAAAAAUAUAUGCUAUUUGACAUUGUGAUAUAUAAGGAACUCUGUCGAUAACAAUUAUUGAAUACAAUGGCAGGAUCCGUGGAAGAUCGAUAAAUGUUGGAUGAGUUUCUGUGCAGUUCCGCUAACUGCAAAUACCUUUACUGAAAAUUGUAUAUUGUGCGUUUCAAAAACUCGCGCGGGUGAAAGAAACGAUGUAUUAAAGUUUAAUUAUUGCAAAUCUACUUUAUUCGACGAAGAACUUAACAAAUAAUUGCUUGGUAUAAUAUGAAAUUAACGCAAGCAAAAUAAGACAAUCUCAACAUGAAGAACAAUGUCACAGCUGAUCCUAUCAUCACAGUUACUUUAGAAUCCUCAGAUCUAGAUGUUCCAGCUGUUAAUCUGGAUGCUACAACUAGAAGUCAACUAAUCAAUGGUGGAUUAGCAUCUAAUAUGCAAAAACCGUCAAAGAACUUCUGGAUAGAGUUGCCACAAUUUGUAUUUGUAGAAACUCGUUUUAUAACUCAGCAGAUAGCAACACAAAAUAAAAUAUAUUCCGCCCAAACAUUAAUACCGAUAACUGAUCAGACUAUUGAGGAGAUAACUUCAAAAAGUUACGAACCAACAUCGAGUAAGACUAUAACACCACCUCUAUUAGUGGAUGCAGGCUCGACAGUAAAACCGGAUGUUGCUGAUGCAGCCAUAAGUACGGAUGGUCCUAAUCCAUGUCGCGACCGAGCGCAACAAACAACUAAACUGGGAGUACACACAGCAGACAUAGGCACUCAAUGUAAUUUAGAGGACGAAUCAGCAUUUUCUGAUAUAUUCGAAAACACUAAUGAAUUUAAUGAGAAAAAGAUUGACGAGAAGCAAAGCUUUUUAAGAUUUUCCAGAGAAAAUUCCAUAUUUUACCUCAAUGGUAGCAGAGAAUGUAUGGUGUGUGGAGAAAUAGAAAAAAGUAUUGAGCGUAUGCUUGCACACUUAGCGCUACAUUGGGGACCUGCUGUACUAUGCCAUUUGUGCGGGUUAAAAUUUGAACACCAAUCGCUAAUGUCAUUACAUCGUUGCGGCACGAAUAGACAUCAUCAGACGUAUCAACAGUGUCCUAUAUACUGGUGUGGCGUUAUGGUGAACUCAACAAAGACACUAAACAAACAUUUACGAAAACAUUUUCGCAUCAGACGCAGGCGCGCAUAUGUAACAUUCUUACUUGAGCAAACAAUAGUAUUGAAAAGACCUUUGAUUACAAAAAUAAAUGCAUGGCAUCGCUGCAAUAUUUGUUUGAAACGUUACAAAAAUACUCAAAAGUUCACAAAACAUCGCAAAAAGUGUCUUUACAGUUUCGCCGCAAAGUUGAGGAAACAGAAGUUUUUAAAACCCACUACUAAUAUUUAGUGAAGGGUAAAAUAUAAUACUGAUGAAUCAGUUGUCAUACAUCUAUUUUUAAUGUUUUGUUUAAUAGAAUUAAAAGUACAUAUAUUCUU